rnacentral:rRNA from 1 species
UACGUAGGGGGCAAGCGUUGUCCGGAUUUAUUGGGCGUAAAGAGCGUGUAGGCGGCCAAGCAGGUCUGCUGUGAAAACUCGAGGCUCAACCUCGAGACGUCGGUGGAAACCGUUUGGCUAGAGUCCGGAAGAGGAGAGUGGAAUUCCCGGUGUAGCGGUGAAAUGCGCAGAUAUCGGGAGGAACAUCCGUGGCGAAGGCGGCUACCUGGACCAGCACUGACACUGAGGCACGAAAGCGUGGGGAGCAAACAGG